rnacentral:rRNA from 1 species
GGCCAGACUCCUACGGGAGGCAGCAGUGGGGAAUAUUGCACAAUGGGGGAAACCCUGAUGCAGCGACGCCGCGUGAGUGAAGAAGUAUUUCGGUAUGUAAAGCUCUAUCAGCAGGGAAGAAAAUGACGGUACCUGACUAAGAAGCCCCGGCUAACUACGUGCCAGCAGCCGCGGUAAUACGUAGGGGGCAAGCGUUAUCCGGAUUUACUGGGUGUAAAGGGAGCGUAGACGGCAUGGCAAGUCAGAUGUGAAAGCCCGGGGCUCAACCCCGGGACUGCAUUUGAAACUGUCAGGCUGGAGUGCAGGAGAGGUAAGUGGAAUUCCUAGUGUAGCGGUGAAAUGCGUAGAUAUUAGGAGGAACACCAGUGGCGAAGGCGGCUUACUGGACUGUAACUGACGUUGAGGCUCGAAAGCGUGGGGAGCAAACAGGAUUAGAUACCCUAGUA